rnacentral:rRNA from 1 species
AACGAACGCCGGCGGCAUGCCUAACACACGCAAGUCGAACGAGACCUUCGGGUCUAGUGGCGCACGGGUGCGUAACGCGUGGGAACCUGCCCUUAGGUUCGGAAUAACUCCCCGAAUGGGGUGCUAAUACCGGAUAAUGUCUUCGGACCAAAGAUUUAUCGCCUUUGGAUGGGCCCGCGUUGGAUUAGCUAGUUGGUAGGGUAAAAGCCUACCAAGGCGACGAUCCAUAGCUGGUCUGAGAGGAUGAUCAGCCACGCUGGGACUGAGACACGGCCCAGACUCCUACGGGAGGCAGCAGUGGGGAAUAUUGGACAAUGGGCGAAAGCCUGAUCCAGCAAUGCCGCGUGAGUGAUGAAGGCCUUAGGGUUGUAAAGCUCUUUUACCCGGGAUGAUAAUGACAGUACCGGGAGAAUAAGCUCCGGCUAACUCCGUG